UACGAACGCUGGCGGCGUGCCUAACACAUGCAAGUCGAACGGGACCAGGGGCAACUCUGGUUCAGUGGCGGACGGGUGCGUAACACGUGAGGAACAUGACUUUUGGUGGGGGAUAGCCGGCCCAACGGCCGGGGUAAUACCGCGUACGACCUUUUGGGGACAUCCCCGAUUGGUGAAAGCAGCAAUGCGCCGAAAGAGUGCCUCGCGGCCUAUCAGCUAGUUGGUGGGGUAAUGGCUCACCAAGGCGACGACGGUAGCUGGUCUGAGAGGAUGGCCAGCCACAUUGGGACUGAGACACGGCCCAGACUCCUACGGGAGGCAGCAGUGGGGAAUAUUGCGCAAUGGGCGAAAGCCUGACGCCAGCGACGCCGCGUGUGGGAUGACGGCC
rnacentral:rRNA from 1 species